rnacentral:rRNA from 1 species
AACGAACGCUGGCGGCAUGCCUAACACAUGCAAGUCGAACGAGAUCUUCGGGUCUAGUGGCGCACGGGUGCGUAACGCGUGGGAAUCUGCCCUUUGGUUCGGAAUAACAGUUGGAAACGACUGCUAAUACCGGAUGAUGACGAAAGUCCAAAGAUUUAUCGCCAGAGGAUGAGCUCGCGUAGGAUUAGCUAGUUGGUGUGGUAAAGGCGCACCAAGGCGACGAUCCUUAGCUGGUCUGAGAGGAUGAUCAGCCACACUGGGACUGAGACACGGCCCAGACUCCUACGGGAGGCAGCAGUGGGGAAUAUUGGACAAUGGGCGAAAGCCUGAUCCAGCAGUGCCGCGUGAGUGAUGAAGGCCUUAGGGUUGUAAAGCUCUUUUACCCGGGAUGAUAGUGACAGUACCGGGAGAAUAAGCUCCGGCUAACUCCGUGCCAGCAGCCGCCGUAA